rnacentral:rRNA from 1 species
UAGGGAAUCUUCGGCAAUGGGGGGAACCCUGACCGAGCAACGCCGCGUGAGUGAAGAAGGUUUUCGGAUCGUAAAGCUCUGUUGUUAAGGAAGAACGAGUGUGAGAAUGGAAAGUUCAUGCUGUGACGGUACUUAACCAGAAAGGGACGGCUAACUACGUGCCAGCAGCCGCGGUAAUACGUAGGGGGCUAGCGUUGUCCGGAAUCACUGGGCGUAAAGGGUUCGCAGGCGGCAAUGCAAGUCAGAUGUAAAAGGCAAAGGCUCAACCUUUGUAAGCAUCUGAAACUGUAUAGCUUGAGAAGUGUAGAGGCAAGUGGAAUUUUUAGUGUAGCGGUGAAAUGCGUAGAUAUUAAAAAGAAUACCGGUGGCGAAGGCGACUUGCUGGGCACAAUCUGACGCUGAGGAACGAAAGCGUGGGGAGCAAACAGG